UACGGGGGGUGCGAGCGUUGUCCGGAAUCACUGGGCGUAAAGGGCGCGUAGGUGGCCUGAUAAGGGUGUGGUGAAAGUCCGGGGCUCAACCCCGGAUCUGCCGUGCCGACUGUUGGGCUGGAGUACUGUAGGGGCAGGCGGAAUUCCGGGUGUAGCGGUGGAAUGCGUAGAGAUCCGGAGGAACACCAGUGGCGAAGGCGGCAUCCUGGUCUGCGACUGACGCUGAUGCGCGAAAGCAAGGGGAGCGAACGGG
rnacentral:rRNA from 1 species